AACACACAAUCAAUUGAGAUUUCUUACACAAUCUAAAUUGGUACAAGAUUAUGUCUCCUAAUUGAAGUUUCUAUGUCUCUAAAUUAAUAAUAUUUCAAAGAUGGUGAUGAUGGAUCAAUUUUAUAAGAUUUGAAAUCUGAGAUCUAGUAAGAGAUAAAACUAAGGGAUUCAUAAAUGUUUGAAGAGGCAAUUAGAAUUGUAGAGAAGGUCAAUGUUAUAGAUUUUAAAAAUCAUACAGCAUGACCUAUAGUACAGAGUCUUAUGCAGCUAUCUAAUACUAUGGCACAACAACCAAUGCCAAUGGAGAUUGAUGUCUUACAAGGAUCAUUGACAUCACAAAGACAACAAAUAUUGGUACAAAAUGAAUUAU
rnacentral:lncRNA from 1 species